CUCUGAAGCAAAUCCUAACCCUCCAUUUACAUUUUUCUCUUUUUUCCUCUUUCUUCCCACAAACCAAGUCCUUGUUAAAACUAACGUUGCUGAAAAUUUAGUGAAGAAUAAAAAGAUAAUUGUCUCUAAGCCCAUGUUUCAGUAUUUUAAAAAAUAUGGGUAUUUUUUUACAGCAUUCCAAUUUGGCUGCCUCAAGCAGUAACAGCACAUGAGAUUUAUUAAUUGAUCAUCAGUACAUAACUGUCUUCUAAAUUUGUAUGAAAUAGUGUCUCAGUAAGACCUACCUCCAUCUGAGGCAAUGAAUUUCAGCUUGGAACAGUAGAACUGCUCCAAUCAGUGAUGGUUAAAUUAUAGCUAUAGGAGAAUAUGACAAAGGAAAACUUUUGGGCCAACAUGUAGAAAGAUCAGAAAUAGGAUUUAGCAGUCACUCAUAGAAUGUUCUUAAAAAGAAGUUUCCUCAAGCCAGCUGUAUUCAGUAUAGUACGUAUAUUGAUGGAAGCUAAUUCUCUAUUGUGCUUUUGUGUUUCAAAAUAAGUUGACCUUACUGUAUACUAGAAGACCACUAGCUUCAAAAAUCGCUCUUCAGUGAUGGAAAUAUAAUAUAUAAGCAUUCUUAAGGAAAAUCUCCCAUUCCUCUGGUCUUUGUGCUCAAAUGUUAGCUACAAUAGAUACGCUACUUCCGCUAUCCUUUCUAAACUGGAAAAGCUGAAGUCUUCUCAGGAGAAAUGUCUAGUCAAGCCCUUAG
rnacentral:lncRNA from 1 species